rnacentral:rRNA from 1 species
GUGGGGAAUAUUGGACAAUGGGGGGAACCCUGAUCCAGCGACGCCGCGUGAGUGAAGAAGUAUUUCGGUAUGUAAAGCUCUAUCAGCAGGGAAGAUAAUGACAGUACCUGACCAAGAAGCACCGGCUAAAUACGUGCCAGCAGCCGCGGUAAUACGUAUGGUGCAAGCGUUAUCCGGAUUUACUGGGUGUAAAGGGAGCGUAGGCGGUCUGCCAAGUCUGAUGUGAAAACCCGGGGCUCAACCCCGGGAGUGCAUUGGAAACUGGCGGACUGGAGUGUCGGAGAGGUAAGCGGAAUUCCUAGUGUAGCGGUGAAAUGCGUAGAUAUUAGGAGGAACACCAGUGGCGAAGGCGGCUUACUGGACGAUAACUGACGCUGAGGCUCGAAAGCGUGGGGAGCAAACAGGA